UACGUAGGGGGCAAGCGUUGUCCGGAAUUAUUGGGCGUAAAGAGCGUGUAGGCGGCCAGACAGGUCCGUUGUGAAAACUGGAGGCUCAACCUUCAGACGUCGACCGAAACCAUCUGGCUAGAGUCCGGGAGAGGAGAGUGGAAUUCCUGGUGUAGCGGUGAAAUGCGCAGAUAUCAGGAAGAACACCCGUGGCGAAAGCGGCUCUCUGGAACGGUACUGACGCUGAGACGCGAAAGCGUGGGGAGCGAACAGG
rnacentral:rRNA from 1 species